rnacentral:lncRNA from 1 species
AACUAACUGGACCUGAGUGUGACCCGGGAGAUGAGGGAAUGGGCAGGCAGCAUGGGCAGACUAGCUCCCUAGAACUUUGACAGCAGCCUCUUCCCAAGGGAAGGACUCAGCUGAUUUCUGAGAAAGCAACCACCAAAUUCUAGAACAUACUUAACAUUUCGGUCUAGUCUGUUCUUAAUCUGAAUCUAGGUCCACUGAAAGAGGUUAGCAGGAGAUCAAGAUGGGAAGGAUGAGGAAAGAAUGGAGGUGGAGAGUUGACCAUAUGGGCUGGAAGGGAACCUUGUAGGAAUACAGGCAGCUGGGGAAAGAACUGCAAGGAUAAGUACUUAGAGAAGAAGGGGACGGUUAAAAAGACUUUAGGGCAUGGGAGAAGAACUGACAAUGGACAGAUGUCAACACAUUUCUGGAAGGCUGAAAACAAGACAGGGGAAGAUGGGAACCAAAUGCUGUGAUGAGAAUGCAGAUAUGUUCAGGAUUUGCCAGCAACAGCAUCCCCCAGGGAGAGUCUAGGUUAUUUUUAAGAAGACAGCAGAGAAAGAGGGAGAAGAAGGCUGCAAACCAAGAGGCUUCUGAAAGAAAGGAGCUCCAAGGAAGAUUGUGCACAGCUUCAGCAUCUUCUAGUUGUGCAAAGCAUUUCUUCAGCCUCAAGAAGUUCUAACCUGCAUACUGAUGAGACUGGUCCUGAGCCUCUUCUGUGCCUAAAAGCUGCCCAGAACCCGACUGAGACAAACCCUGACCAGUGCAGAAGUUCUUCAUAUGAAGAGCAUUCCAUGUGGGGUUAGAGAUGGCUGGCUGGCUAAGAAGACACUCUUCGCUAAAAAACUCCAGUGUAUCUCCUGUUUUCUUUUUUAAUGUUUAGACUAUCCUGUAAGAAGGCAUUAUUUUUAUUUAUUUUGAAAAACAAGUGGCAGUUCCAAACCAAGAAUCCUUCAGUUCAUUUCUUUGUAACUAAUGUAUACAUUUAUUUAUAGUCUCACUUUUCAUCAUUAAGAAUCAUUCUAAUUUCUCUGGCUUGAGGGAAAAAUAGAGACUGGCCAUCCAAGAUUUAAACCUUCAGUUAUCUAAAACACCAGGAGGUGCUAUAAGAUAAUGUUAAGGAACAUGAUUCCCCCACCUCCUAGAGUUACAGGUUUGAAAUUCUAGUUACACAAAGUUUUAACAAAACUGUUUUCCCUGAGAAAGUCUUAAAUGUCCAGAUUCUAAGGUAAUAGACCAUUCCCUGGAUCUAAGGACUCUUUCAAGGGAGGAUAGUAGCCUUGUCAAGGUUUCAGGGACAUUAAUAAAGAUUUGCAGAGAUAUUUUCUACAUUCCUAAUGCCAGGAACUAUUUGUGGAAGGAUAGUAAUGAAAAACUAUUGAUACAGGUUUUGUGGGUGUAACAAAGUUUAAAAUGCAAUCAGAAAACCAGGUGAGACUACCAAAUGAAAUUCUGGAGCUGGUGUGCAGCUCUUGCCUGGGCGGGUAUUUACUCUUCCAACUACAUAUCAGCUACAUCUAUGCAGACAACCAUUUCAGUUACAUAGCUAAAGAGAAAUUUAUUUGUAUUUUUCUAGUGAAUCAAUAGCAUCAUCUCUUUGGACAAUUUCUAAUAAGCAAUUUUUAAGAAUUAUCAGCUUCAGUGAGACAUAAUGUACUUGAAAUGAAACUAACCAAUUAAAAACGUACAAUUUGAUGAAUUUUGACAAAUGUAUACAUGGUCAUGUAAUCACUGCCAAAAUGAUGAUGUAGAACAGUUUUUCACCUUUUUCUCUCGCUUCUGCUUUUUAAAAGUUGAGGUAUAGCUGAUUUAUAAUCUUAUAUAAGUUUCAGGUGUACAGCAUAGUGAUUCAUAAUCUUAAAGAUUAUACUCCAUUUAUGAUUAUUAUAAAGUGUUGGCCAAAUUCCCUGUAGAAUAUUUCCAUCCACCACCCUCCCCCCACCCCUAUUUCCUUCAUGCUCCUUUUCAAUUAAUAUUAUCACACCACUACCUGGACCCUGGUAAUCACUGAUCUGCUUUCUGUGACUAUACUUUCUCCUUUUCUAGAAUUUUACACUAGCCUUUUGUGGCUAAUAUUUCUUAUGUCUCAUAAUUUUUUUUGAGAUUUAUCCAUGCUGUGUGUAUUAGUAAUUUAUUCCUUUUUAUUAUAGAGUGGUAUUUUAUUACAUGGUUAUAUGUCAGUGUGAUUUAUAUUCACAAUUUGAUGGACAUUUGGGUUCUUUUCAGUUUUGGGAGGUUAUGAAUAAAGCUGUAGUAAAGACUCUUGUGCAAGUCUUUGUACGAACUUAUGCUUUUUCUUC